UGGCGGACGGGUGAGUAAUGUCUAGGGAAACUCCCCGAUGGGAGGGGGUAACUACUGGAACGGUAGCUAAUACCGCAUAACGUCGCAAGACCAAAGAGGGGGACCUUCGGGCCUCUUGCCAUCGGAUGUGCCCAGAUGGGAUUAGCUAGUAGGUGGGGUAACGGCUCACCUAGGCGACGAUCCCUAGCUGGUCUGAGAGGAUGACCAGCCACACUGGAACUGAGACACGGUCCAG
rnacentral:rRNA from 1 species